rnacentral:rRNA from 1 species
UACGAAGGGGGCAAGCGUUGUUCGGAAUUACUGGGCGUAAAGGGCGCGUAGGCGGCCUGUUAAGUCGGACGUGAAAUCCCUCGGCUCAACCGGGGAACUGCGUCCGAUACUGGCGGGCUUGAAUUCGGGAGAGGGAUGUGGAAUUCCAGGUGUAGCGGUGAAAUGCGUAGAUAUCUGGAGGAACACCGGUGGCGAAGGCGGCAUCCUGGACCGACAUUGACGCUGAGGCGCGAAAGCCAGGGGAGCAAACGGG